AGCGCGCGCAGGCGGCCUUUUAAGUUGGAUGUGAAAGCCUAUGGCUCAACCAUAGAACUGCAUCCAAAACUAUCAGGCUAGAGUGUGGGAGAGGAAGAUGGAAUUAGUUGUGUAGGGGUAAAAUCCGUAGAGAUAACUAGGAAUACCAAAAGCGAAGGCAAUCUUCUGGAACAUUACUGACGCUGAGGCGCGAAAGCGUGGGGAGCAAACAGGAUUAGAUACCCUGGUAGUCCACGCCCUAAACGAUGAAUGUUAGUCGUCGGGUAGCUAGUCUAUUCGGUGAUGCAGCUAACGCAUUAAACAUUCCGCCUGGGGAGUACGGUCGCAAGAUUAAAACUCAAAGGAAUAGACGGGGACCCGCACAAGUGGUGGAGCAUGUGGUUUAAUUCGAAGAUACGCGAAGAACCUUACCUAGCCUUGACAUAUUUUAGAACACUUUAGAGAUAGAGUGGUGCCUUCGGGAGCUAAUAUACAGGUGCUGCACGGCUGUCGUCAGCUCGUGUCGUGAGAUGUUGGGUUAAGUCCCGCAACGAGCGCAACCCUCGUCACUAGUUACUAACGGUUCGGCCGAGGACUCUAGUGAGACUGCCUUCGCAAGGAGGAGGAAGGUGAGGACGACGUCAAGUCAUCAUGGCCCUUACGGCUAGGGCAACACACGUGCUACAAUGGCCAGGACAAUGAGAAGCGAUACCGCGAGGUGGAGCAAAUCUAUAAACCUGGUCUCAGUUCGGAUUGUAGUCUGCAACUCGACUACAUGAAGCUGGAAU
rnacentral:rRNA from 1 species